UUUGGAAAAAAAGAAAAAGAAAAAAGAGCCCCAAACCAAGCCACAAACUGUGAAAUCUUUUAAAAUAAUAAUAAAGCAAUUGUGUUCUUGAAAAGGGCUCCAAGACCAAUGGGAGUCUCCAAAGGAAGAGAAGAGAGCAGCUUCGUCUGUUUCCUCUUGCACAAGGCUGCUGCACUGGGCCCAGCACCUCUGGAGCAAUGAGACUUCUUCAAGAAGAUGAAUGCAAAGAAAGAUCACAAGAAGCACUUCUCUUUCUCCCAUGGGAUGGCAGCUCUGGGAAUGGCAUGCGGUCAGCAGUCACAGUAUCACACCCCUGUUAGCAAAUGAAAGGGGAGAGAGAGCUGAAGCUCUCUGGUGCUGUGGAACCAAGUGCGUCUCAGAAAUGGAUGGACUUCUUCAAAAGCUAAAGACUUUUUUAAAAAAUAAAAAAAGCAAAACGAAACAAAACA